rnacentral:pre_miRNA from 1 species
GCAUAUUUCACGUUUGUGCGUGAAUCUGACAACCCUUCUCAUCAUCAUAAUGAUGAUUGAUGGGUGUGUGUCUGUUAGAUUCACGCACAAACUCGUAAUAUGUUU